rnacentral:lncRNA from 1 species
UGAUGGGGUCCAGGCUGGUCAGCUUCCUUGGGCAGGAACAGGGUGAAGACAGAGUGGAUCUGAGAGGGGAGUGGAGGAGACCCAGCCGGCCCUCCAUCACAGCUGGUCUCCACUCGAGCAUUCCAGUUCCCUUGGUGGUGAGGGACUCAGGAUGUUGGAGCAAAGAAGGACCUUAGGGCCAUCUCAUGUAAUCCUUACAUUUUACAGCAGAACAAGGAGGAAGGAAGAGAAGAGCUCCCUACCCCCCUGAGAAGCAGCUGGAGAAGCUUAAUACUUUCAAAACCACCCAGAGGCAUUCUGAGAAAACCCAGCAGCGAUGGAGAUGGGACAGCACAGGGAAAUAUUUUUAUUUCACCUUUAAAGGAUGUACAGUAAGGGCGAGAACAUCUCGAUGAAAUCUCUGCAGUAAAUAACUCUUGGAUCCCUUUCCCAUACAAGUGAAAGGACAAAAGGAUGAUACGCUGAGAUGGCCUCUUCACCUGCACCAAUGCCAGGGCCAGGGUGGGUCUCAGCUACCCACCCCCAGGUACGGAGGGUCUGGAGGAGGGGGGCGGGGCCCUCUAUGGCCCCUGGGGUCCAUGUGUCCUAGCCACUCUCCUCGUCUCUGGGAAGGGGCUGAGGGUCCUUGGCCUGCUAGAGUGCAUGCCACAUGCUGUGCUGGGUACUUCACGUUGGUGUGAGUGUUCAGUGGACAGGACUGCAGAUCUGGUCUGCCUGAAUUUGGCUCCUGCCUCUUUCACUUGCUAGCUGAGAGAACUUGGCCAAGUGACUUGACUUUCUGUGGCUCAGUUGCCUCAUCUGUA